rnacentral:rRNA from 1 species
AUACGGAGGGGGCUAGCGUUGUUCGGAAUUACUGGGCGUAAAGCGUACGUAGGCGGACUGAUCAGUUGGGGGUGAAAUCCCAGGGCUUAACCCUGGAACUGCCUUCAAUACUGUCAGUCUUGAGAUUGGAAGAGGUGAGUGGAAUUCCUAGUGUAGAGGUGAAAUUCAUAGAUAUUAGGAGGGACACCAGUGGCGAAGGCGGCUCACUGGUCCAAUACUGACGCUGAGGUACGAAAGCGUGGGGAGCAAACAGGAUUAGAAACCCUUGUAGUCC